rnacentral:rRNA from 1 species
AGUGAACGCUGGCGGUAGGCCUAACACAUGCAAGUCGAACGGCAGCACAGUAAGAGCUUGCUCUUACGGGUGGCGAGUGGCGGACGGGUGAGGAAUACAUCGGAAUCUACUUUUUCGUAGGGGAUAACGUAGGGAAACUUACGCUAAUACCGCAUACGACCUACGGGUGAAAGCAGGGGAUCUUCGGACCUUGCGCGAUUGAAUGAGCCGAUGUCGGAUUAGCUAGUUGGCGGGGUAAAGGCCCACCAAGGCGACGAUCCGUAGCUGGUCUGAGAGGAUGAUCAGCCACACUGGAACUGAGACACGGUCCAGACUCCUACGGGAGGCAGCAGUGGGGAAUAUUGGACAAUGGGCGCAAGCCUGAUCCAGCCAUACCGCGUGGGUGAAGAAGGCCUUCGGGUUGUAAAGCCCUUUUGUUGGGAAAGAAAAGCAGCAGGUUAAUACCCCGCUGUUCUGACGGUACCCAAAGAAUAAGCACCGGCUAACUUC